rnacentral:rRNA from 1 species
GGGUACCUACGGGGGGCAGCAGUGGGGAAUAUUGCGCAAUGGGCGAAAGCCUGACGCAGCGACGCCGCGUGAGGGAUGAAGGUCUUCGGAUCGUAAACCUCUGUCAGCAGGGAAGAACGGUCACUGUGCUAAUCAGCAGUGAAUUGACGGUACCUGCAAAGGAAGCACCGGCUAACUCCGUGCCAGCAGCCGCGGUAAUACGGAGGGUGCGAGCGUUAAUCGGAAUUACUGGGCGUAAAGCGCUCGUAGGCGGUAUGUCAAGUCAGCGGUAAAAUCGCGGGGCUCAACCUCGCUCCGCCGUUGAA